rnacentral:rRNA from 1 species
AUGAACGCUAGCUACAGGCUUAACACAUGCAAGUCGAGGGGCAGCAUGGUCUUAGCUUGCUAAGGCCGAUGGCGACCGGCGCACGGGUGAGUAACACGUAUCCAACCUGCCGUCUACUCUUGGACAGCCUUCUGAAAGGAAGAUUAAUACAAGAUGGCAUCAUGAGUCCGCAUGUUCACGUGAUUAAAGGUAUUCCGGUAGACGAUGGGGAUGCGUUCCAUUAGAUAGUAGGCGGGGUAACGGCCCACCUAGUCUUCGAUGGAUAGGGGUUCUGAGAGGAAGGUCCCCCACAUUGGAACUGAGACACGGUCCAAACUCCUACGGGAGGCAGCAGUGAGGAAUAUUGGUCAAUGGGCGAGAGCCUGAACCAGCCAAGUAGCGUGAAGGAUGACUGCCCUAUGGGUUGUAAACUUCUUUUAUAAAGGAAUAAAGUCGGGUAUGCAUACCCGUUUGCAUGUACUUUAUGAAUAAGGAUCGGCUAACUCCGUGCCAGCAGCCGCGGUAAUACGGAGGAUCCGAGCGUUAUCCGGAUUUAUUGGGUUUAAAGGGAGCGUAGAUGGAUGUUUAAGUCAGUUGUGAAAGUUUGCGGCUCAACCGUAAAAUUGCAGUUGAUACUGGAUAUCUUGAGUGCAGUUGAGGCAGGCGGAAUUCGUGGUGUAGCGGUGAAAUGCUUAGAUAUCACGAAGAACUCCGAUUGCGAAGGCAGCCUGCUAAGCUGCAACUGACAUUGAGGCUCGAAAGUGUGGGUAUCAAACAGGAUUAGAUACCCUGGUAGUCCACACGGUAAACGAUGAAUACUCGCUGUUUGCGAUAUACAGCAAGCGGCCAAGCGAAAGCGUUAAGUAUUCCACCUGGGGAGUACGCCGGCAACGGUGAAACUCAAAGGAAUUGACGGGGGCCCGCACAAGCGGAGGAACAUGUGGUUUAAUUCGAUGAUACGCGAGGAACCUUACCCGGGCUUAAAUUGCAGAUGAAUUACGGUGAAAGCCGUAAGCCGCAAGGCAUCUGUGAAGGUGCUGCAUGGUUGUCGUCAGCUCGUGCCGUGAGGUGUCGGCUUAAGUGCCAUAACGAGCGCAACCCUUGUUGUCAGUUACUAACAGGUUCCGCUGAGGACUCUGACAAGACUGCCAUCGUAAGAUGUGAGGAAGGUGGGGAUGACGUCAAAUCAGCACGGCCCUUACGUCCGGGGCUACACACGUGUUACAAUGGGGGGUACAGAGGGCCGCUACCACGCGAGUGGAUGCCAAUCCCAAAAACCUCUCUCAGUUCGGACUGGAGUCUGCAACCCGACUCCACGAAGCUGGAUUCGCUAGUAAUCGCGCAUCAGCCACGGCGCGGUGAAUACGUUCCCGGGCCUUGUACACACCGCCCGUCAAGCCAUGGGAGCCGGGGGUACCUGAAGUGCGUAACCGCGAGGAGCGCCCUAGGGUAAAACUGGUGACUGGGGCU